rnacentral:miRNA from 1 species
AUUCACGGUGCUUGGGAUAGAGGACGAGAAGGGGAACUGCUAGCUCCUUCAACUCGUUCUGUCCGGUGAGAAGUGAUCAA